rnacentral:lncRNA from 1 species
AAAGCAAAGCACAGAUCCUCAGCUCUGAAACUGCAGUUCAGACCUGAAGUCCCUGAAAUUCAUAGACUGUAUCACUUCUGCUCUCAGUGGACUAGAAUUGAAAAUACAGAUUCCUGUGUAAUUAAGAAUGGAAGAAUUUGAAUUGAAUCCACCCAACUGUGUCACUCUACAUAAAGAGAAGAUGAAUGGGGAAAAAAUAAGAACCAAGAUGCAUUAUAUAAAGAAGCUUUUUAAUUAGAAGAGAUCCCACUUGUUGAUGGUUUGUGCGAGUUCAAGAGCAACUGAGGUUUUGUUCAUAAGAUGUUU